rfam:Musa acuminata subsp. malaccensis Doubled-haploid Pahang (DH-Pahang) genomic chromosome, chr4
AUAGCCUCUUGAAUAACCGGAUGCAGGAUGAAACAGCCAUCUGCAUACGGUUCAGACGGAGGCGCAAAGCGACAUGAAUCCUUUUGAGGGAAAGGAGCUCAUUUCUCUCGGUAGUUCCUUUCUUAGAUGGCUUCUGAUAUAU